UUGUAGGUUUGGAGAAAGAGGAGGUAGUAUAAAAGAGGUGUUAGGGUUGUGUUUUGGUUCAUUGCUACCUUAAUAAAAUUGGUGAUUACGAUAAGGAAGAUGGCAUGCUCUUCUAGGACGGUUAUUUUGUUGCUUAUACUACUCACCGUCUUCAACCCUUCAACACUUGCUGAGUUUAGCACUGAAGAUUCAUACGAGAAACAUAUCGAACGAGGACAUGUUCCUAGCAUCCCUGUCCCGAGCUUUGGCAUCCCUCGCCCUCGUCCUCGUCCUAGGCCGCCACCAAUAGACAGACCCCAAAACGACGCUCCCUAGGCCUACCCUACCACUAUUUUCUAUCAUAAACAACUCUCUUCUUUCUCUUCCAUCGGGAAAUUGUACUCAAAACAAAUUUUUAUUUAUUUUUUGCAAUCUCUUUCGUUUGUUUGCUCAUGUGUAGUAUUUAAGUUCUUUUUAUUUAUGAGAAGCUUUUAUCCAGAGAAGGCUUCCUUCCAUACCAAACUUACCAACUAAUUACCAGCUUUCAAUUUCAUCUCAUCAUGUGAAAAAUAAUAAUAUAGUGAUAAUCAAUUUAUAGAUUAGUAAUUUUUGGUUAAUACUAAUGUGGCUUUCAUAUCCAUGUGUACCGUAUGCUCUACGAUCAUAUCCAUGUGAUAGAUGGUGCGGU
rnacentral:lncRNA from 1 species